UACGAAGGGGGCGAGCGUUGUUCGGAUUUACUGGGCGUAAAGCGCGCGUAGGCGGCUUUUCAAGUCGAUUGUGAAAUCCCCGGGCUUAACCUGGGAACUGCAGUCGAGACUGUCUAGCUAGAGUAUGGGAGAGGGAAGUGGAAUUUCAGGUGUAGCGGUGAAAUGCGUAGAUAUCUGAAGGAACAUCAGUGGCGAAAGCGACUUCCUGGACCAAUACUGACGCUCAUGUGCGAAAGCGUGGGGAGCAAACAGG
rnacentral:rRNA from 1 species